GAGCGAUAUCGUCCCGAUGACCUUACAAGCGACAUGACGGAAUCCGGUGAGAGCCCGGAACGGUCGCGCCACUGUAUGCCGGGCCCGUACGCGGGCCCCGGUGAGUCAGACCCGUCAUGCGCGUUCGAAGCUC
rnacentral:ncRNA from 2 species